CCCUUAGAUGUUCUGGGCAGCACGCGCGCUACAAUGGUCUUCGCAAACGGAUGCAUUCUCGAAGGAGAAUGCCAAUCUUGGAAUCUAUGCCUUGGUCGGGACAGUUGCUUGCAAUUUUUCGACUCGAACCAGGAAUUCCUUGUAAUCGUGAUUCAUCACAUCACGAUGAAUACGUCCCUGCCCUUUGUACACACCGCCCGUCGCUCCUACCGAUUGAAUGGUCCGGUGAAGCGUUUGGACUAUGGUUUUCUGAUGGUCCGCCGUUGGAUUACCGUGGGAAGUUCGUUAAACCUUAUCAUUUAGAGGAAGGAGAAGUCGUAACA
rnacentral:rRNA from 1 species